rnacentral:rRNA from 1 species
UACGUAGGGUGCAAGCGUUGUUCGGAAUCAUUGGGCGUAAAGCGCGUGUAGGCUGUUAGUUAAGUCUUGUGUGAAAUCCCUCGGCUCAACCGAGGAAGUGCAUGGGAAACUAACUAGCUAGAAGACGGCAGAGGAAGGUGGAAUUCCAAGUGUAGAGGUGAAAUUCGUAGAUAUUUGGAGGAAUACCGGUGGCGAAGGCGGCCUUCUGGACCGAUCUUGACGCUGAGACGCGAAAGCGUGGGGAGCAAACAGG